UAUUUAUAUUAUAUAGUUUUUCUUUUUAUAAACUUAAUGAAAAGUGAAUAUUUAACACCAAACUUUGUAGACCAAAGCACUAGAUAAAAACUGAGACUGUUUGCAAUUUGCAGCCCAAAUAGACCUUAGUUUAUGCUAGG